GUGGUUGCGAUGAUUGUAAAACAAUUCCUCGUACUGAAUGCUGUUUCCGCAGCUUGAUAGACUCAUUUUACACCCAUAGAAUAUGAGCUCC